AAACAGAUAAGUCCGAGUCAACAGCAGACCCAUCUCUCCAUUCCAGAGGAACCUUUUGUCUCAAUGAAAGAGUUUGUCUUACAGGUAACCAAGGUGAAGACAUCCUUCUGCCAUGCACUUGUGAGGAAAGAAAUUCUACGGAAGAGUUUAAAUGGCAGAUUGAAAAUCCGCUAUCACUGGUUUUGAAAUUUAAACAGGAAAACAAAACAUAUGGGGAAAACUACAAAACCAGGGUUACAACCUAUCUACAUGAGAGCGACACUAACUGCUCUUUACUUCUGAGGAAUAUCACUGAGAAUGACAGCAAAAACUACAGUUGCCGUUUUUAUAAGAAUAAAGAAUAUCAAAUUCUUCAUUUAAAUCUGAAAGUCAACCAGAUAUCACCUACAGAUGAAGUUCCUGCUAUUCAUAAAAACCCUGAUAUGACAUCAACCGAAGAGAAUCCUUCCAGAAUGUAUUUUGCAAUCCUUCCAGUAAUUGCUCUUCUUCUGGUUGUGGGUGUACUUAGGAAUCU